rnacentral:rRNA from 1 species
GACGAACGCCGGCGGCGUGCAUAAUACAUGCAAGUAGAACGCUGAAGGAGGAGCUAGCUUCUCGGGAUGAGUUGCGAACGGGUGAGUAACGCGUAGGUAACCUGCAUGGUAGCGGGGGGAUAACUAUUGGAAACGAUAGCUAAUACCGCAUAAUAGUAGAUGUUGCAUGACAUUUGCUUAAAAGGUGCAAUUGCAUCACUACCAGAUGGACCUGCGUUGUAUUAGCUAGUUGGUGGGGUAACGGCUCACCAAGGCGACGAUACAUAGCCGACCUGAGAGGGUGAUCGGCCACACUGGGACUGAGACACGGCCCAGACUCCUACGGGAGGCAGCAGUAGGGAAUCUUCGGCAAUGGACGGAAGUCUGACCGAGCAACGCCGCGUGAGUGAAGAAGGUUUUCGGAUCGUAAAGCUCUGUUGUAAGUCAAGAACGAGUGUGAGAGUGGAAAAUUCACACUGUGACGGUAGCUUACCAGAAAGGGACGGCUAACUACGUGCCAGCAGCCGCGGUAAUACGUAGGUCCCGAGCGUUGUCCGGAUUUAUUGGGCGUAAAGCGAGCGCAGGCGGUUUGAUAAGUCUGAAGUUAAAGGCUGUGGCUCAACCAUAGUUCGCUUUGGAAACUGUCAAACUUGAGUGCAGAAGGGGAGAGUGGAAUUCCAUGUGUAGCGGUGAAAUGCGUAGAUAUAUGGAGGAACACCGGUGGCGAAAGCGGCUCUCUGGUCUGUAACUGACGCUGAGGCUCGAAAGCGUGGGGAGCGAACAGG